GAAAUCAUUUAAUAUCUACGUCAAUGGGCUCCACAUGAGUGGACUACACCUUUUAUUUUGAAGAAAAAAGAUUUGGAAUAAUUUUUAUGAAUAUUUUGUCAUAAUUUAUGGAAACAAUUUUCAAUAGCUUCACUGUUAUCAAGUGUAGGAUGAAACCAUUAAUUUCCUACAUCAAUGGGCUCCACAUAAGUGUGCUACACCUGGCCGGCUAUACCUCAUGAAUCAUUAUACCAUGGGUUUAAUCUUGUACGGCAUGAGAGAGCAAAUGGCCAGGCAAGGGUUAAAAAAGGUGAGUAAUUAUAUUAUUAUUAUAAAUGUUAACAUCAAGUUGUUUUGAAACAAUCCAUUUGAAAAAGCAGCUUUAGUUUUUUGGUUGUUCCGUUGGAGGAAAAAUACAUAAUGCAUACUGGGUACAUUCUAUUUGAGUUUUGCAGCAAAAUACAAUUAUAUUUCCAUUUUUACGCAUGUUGUCAGGUCACAUUUGAUGACUAUGAUGGAGCCAUUGGAUUUGUCAACAUAAGAAAUGUGCACUGGAAGUUUGUGAUCCUGUCAUCCUCACCUGAUUGUCCCUCAUUCCCUUCACCUGGUCCUCACGCCCUUCUCACCUGCAGCCCAUCCCCUCAUUAGUCCCUCACUAUUUAGCUCCCUCACUUCCACUUGUCCUCUGCCACAUUUUCUUGUGUGUCGCCGCCAAACCUUCCAGCGUUAUUAGAGUUUAUUCCUGACCUGCCUGUUACGACCCUGUUUACCCGACUCAAGAUUUUGCCUGCCCCUUUUUGGAUUUGUUGCCCUGUUGGACUGACUACCUGGUUUUGACCCUGCCUGAAACAUACAGUAAACUGCCUCCUCCUGCAUUCCGGUGUUUGUCGUGCUUUUGGGUUCCAGUACCUGUAACCCUUACACAAAUGAAGUUGACGACUCCAGAAAGGCUGGCCAAAGACACAGUAUUUCAAAAUGCGCAAGAACAGACUUGGAAAGGAGGACUGGGUGAACAUCAAGUGGCAGCCGGGCCAGAUAAUCCACACCUGCCAGAAAGAUGGCAGCAGUUGUGGGAUCUUUGUCAUGCAGAUGGCCAAGAUGACGGUGAUGGAACUACCAAAGAUUCCGCAGCAUUUUCGCAUCAACUCAUCUAAACAAUCUAUUGAAAAGCUAAGAAGAAACAUGGCUGAAGACAUUCUGAAACAAUCAGUUUCAAAGGAUGAGCUCUGUUCCUUCUGUGGAAUUGAGGACCUGCCCAAAACUGCUAUUGAUGCUGUUUGGAUUCAGUGUGGAACUUGCUCAAGAUGGUUUCACACGCAGUGCCUUGGGAUGACAGCAGCACAACUACCAAACAACAUUGGUGUUGUGAAUACUUAUGUACAUGUUAUGUUUUCGUUCUUUAUUUUUAAUAAAUGUGCAAAAAUUUGCAAAAAACAGUUUUCACUUUGUCAUUAUGGGUUUUUGUGUGUAGAAUGUUGAGGAAAAUAAUGAAUUUAAUCCAUUUUGGAAUAUGGCUGUAACAUAACAAAAUGUGGAAAAAAUCAAGCGCUGUGAAUACUUUCCGGAUGCACUGUAUAUAUUGGUAUCUGAUCAUUCAUAAAGAAUAAAUGUGGGAACUACUUGACUACUA